CCCUCGGAGGGCGGGCCGCGGCGGAGGGCUGGGCGGUGGGGCCGGGGUGAGUGCGCUAGCUAGCGCCUGCGCCCGCUGCCGGGACCGCCCCCUCCAAGCGGGACUCGUCUCGGCCGCCCGGCUGCGGGUCCAAUGCGCGGGGGAGGUUCGUGGCCCCCCUUCCCUCACGCCCCGCCCACCUUCCAAUGAGCGCUGUUCGCGGGGAGUUUACGUGGGACCGGGGCUGCCCGGCUGAAGCUGCCAGGACACGUUACCUGUUGGCCUUGUGCGGAGCCUUGUGGUCGUUCCUCCUCGAGGUGGCAGCUGCAAUCACAAAACCGAACCACCAUGUACCUCAUAAGGAAGUUUCUGUCCCAUGUGGAAUCUGGUUCAUUUCUCAAUAAAGGGACUCCUGGAGUGGAAAGGAAAAAGCCAAAUUAUAAACUUGUUCUGCUCGAA